AGUGCAAGCGAGGUACCAGCCGCAUUGGAAAAACCGUGCGGCAAUGGGAAGACGUGAUGCGGAGUGAAGUUUAGUAAUGAAGUCCGUGAGCUGUGCGUUAAGAAAAGCCGCUAUUGUUCAUACCAUACCCGUACCGUAAACCGACACAGGUGGAUGAGGAGAGAAUCCUAAGGCCGGCGGAAGAAGCAUUGUCAAGGAACUCGGCAAAAUGACCCCGUAACUUCGGGAGAAGGGGUGCCUGCGAGAGCAGGCCGCAGAGAAUAGGCUCAAGCAACUGUUUAGCAAAAACACAGGUCUAUGCGAAACCGAAAGGUGAGGUAUAUGGGCUGACGCCUGCCCGGUGCUGGAAGGUUAAGAGGAGAGGUUAGCGGUAACGCGAAGCUUUGAAUUUAAGCCCCAGUAAACGGCGGUCGUAGCUAUGACGGUCCUAAGGUAGCGAAAUUCCUUGUCGGGUAAGUUCCGACCCGCACGAAAGGCGUAAUGAUUUGAGCGCUGUCUCGACAAUGCAUCCGGUGAAAUUGAAGUACCAGUGAAGAUGCUGGUUACCUGCGCCAGGACGGAAAGACCCCAUGGAGCUUUACUCCAGUUUGGUACUGGGAUCGGUACUGCAUGUACAGGAUAGGUGGGAGGCUGAGAAUCGGUAACGCCAGUUGCCGAGGAGCCGCUGUUGGGAUACCACCCUUGCAGUAUUGGGUUUCUAACCAGCCGCCGUGACCCGGCGGUGGGACAAUGCCAGACGGGGAGUUUGACUGGGGCGGUCGCCUCCGAAAGGGUAUCGGAGGCGCCCAAAGGUUCCCUCAGGAUGGACGGAAACCAUCCAAAGAGUGCAAAGGCAGAAGGGAGCUUGACUGCGACACCGACGGGUGGAGCAGGUACGAAAGUAGGGCUUAGUGAUCCGGUGGUAUUAAGUGGGAAUGCCAUCGCUCAACGGAUAAAAGCUACCCUGGAUAACAGGCUUAUCACUCCCAAGAGUUCACAUCGACGGAGUGGUUUGGCACCUCGAUGUCGGCUCAUCGCAUCCUGGGGCUGUAGUAUGUCCCAAGGGUUGGGCUGUUCGCCCAUUAAAGCGGUACGCGAGCUGGGUUCAGAACGUCGUGAGACAGUUCGGUCCCUAUCCGGCGUGGGCGUAGGAUAUCUGAGAGGAGCUGUCCCUAGUACGAGAGGACCGGGAUGGACGGGCCGCUGGUGCACCGGUUAGACUGCCAAGUCUAUAGCCGGGUAGCCAAGCCCGGAAGGGAUAAACGCUGAAGGCAUCUAAGCGUGAAGCCCCCCUCAAGAUGAGAUACCCCAUCCGAAAGGAGUAAACCCCCUUGAAGACGACGAGGUCGAUAGGGCAGGGGUGGAAGUGUGGUAACACAUGGAGCUGACUGCUACUAAUAGGGUGAGGGCUUGACCAA
rnacentral:rRNA from 1 species